UAGGGACUGCAAAUUUUGUGACUUGCAAAAUAAGUAUCGCAAGUUUUGUUGCUUGCAAAUAAGGUACAGUAAGUUUUGUGGCUUGCAAGUAGGUACCUACUUGCAAUUAUCAAUUUGCAAGUAGGCUUGCAAAUUGAUAAUUGGUUCUGGCUUACCUUUAUGUGGUGUCUAUUGUUAAAAAUUAUUCAUUUUGUUUCGUUAAUGUAAUUUAAAAAUUAAAUUAUUUACUAGAAGCCCAGACAAGAAAUAGUUACAUUUUUUAUUUCAAAAAACUUGUUUUUUGUGUGUGUUUUUUUCUCAGGUUGGAGUGGUUAAUCUGUUCCUUUACAUGAUAAUGUAUACUCAGAUGCAUCUUGUAAUGUGAUUGUUGGCGACAUAGUUCAUUUAUUAAAGUCUUCUGUCACAGUUGACUCAGCAAGAAUGAAGAUAUUGAUACACAUUAUGGAAUACACAAGUUGGCAGUUCCUCGCCCACUGCCACCCAAAUACAGGUAUAAGAAAUCCUUAUCUGUACGUAACAGACGAUGGAGACGAAGUGAUUAUUAUGUGUGGCAAAAGAUUAUUUUAUGAAGUUUUUCAUUUUCUGACUUCGUGAUGGAUCUUAUUGGGGUACACUUUUUUCGGACAUAGGUGGAGUAUUGCCGCUACAAGCAUGAACAAUAAAACAUUCCAAAGAAUAAUUUGUUAUUUUAACGAUUAGAUUUGUUGUUUAAAUGUAUAAAUGCUUGUUGCAUAUUCUUAUUAUACAUCAUCCUAAUUUCAAAA
rnacentral:misc_RNA from 1 species